UACGUAGGGGGCAAGCGUUGUCCGGAAUCAUUGGGCGUAAAGCGCGUGUAGGCGGCCCGAUAAGUCCGCUGUGAAAGUCCAGGGCUCAACCCUGGGAUGCCGGUGGAUACUGUCGGGCUCGAGUCCGGAAGAGGCGAGUGGAAUUCCUGGUGUAGCGGUGAAAUGCGCAGAUAUCAGGAGGAACACCGAUUGCGAAGGCAGCUCGCUGGGACGUAACUGACGCUGAGACGCGAAAGCGUGGGGAGCAAACAGG
rnacentral:rRNA from 1 species